UACGGAGGGUGCAAGCGUUGUUCGGAAUCAUUGGGCGUAAAGCGCGUGUAGGCGGCUUGGCAAGUCAGUUGUGAAAGCCCGGGGCCCAACCCGGAACUGCAUCUGAAACUGCCUGGCUAGAGUCCCGGAGAGGAAGGCAGAAUUCCCGGUGUAGGGUGAAUCCGUAGAUAUCGGGAGGAAUACCAGCGGCGAAGGCGGCCUUCUGGACCUGUUCUGACACUGAGGAGCGAAGCGUGGGAGCGAUCCGG
rnacentral:rRNA from 1 species